rnacentral:rRNA from 1 species
AGGACAAACGCUGGCGGGGUGCAUGAGACAUGCAAGUCGAACGGGGUGCCAUCGGGCUUGCUCGAUGGUUACCUAGUGGCGGACGGCUGAGUAACGCGUAGGUGACCUACCCGGAAGUGGGGAAUAACUGCCCGAAAGGGUGGCUAAUACCGCAUGUGGUCGGCGAUUCGAUUCGUCGUCUAAAGGAGUAAUCCGCUUCCGGCGGGGCCUGCGUCCGAUUAGCUAGUUGGUGGGGUAAUGGCUCACCAAGGCGACGAUCGAUAGCCGGCCUGAGAGGGUGAUCGGCCACACUGGAACUGAGACACGGUCCAGACUCCUACGGGAGGCAGCAGUGGGGAAUUUUGCGUCAAUGGGGCUAACGCCUGACGCAGCAACGCCGCGUGGAGAUGAAGGUCUUGGAUUGUAAACUCCUGUAAGCGAGGAAAAGC